rnacentral:rRNA from 1 species
CUUACACAUGCAAGUCGAACGAGAAAGGGAUUGCUUGCAAUCCUGAGUAGAGUGGCGCACGGGUGAGUAACACGUAGAUAAUCUACCUUGAAGUCUGGGAUAACUAUUCGAAAGGAUAGCUAAUACCGGAUAAAGUGUCUUAACACAAGUUAAGUUAUGAAAGACAGCCUAUCCCUGGAAGCUGUUGCUUGGAGAUGAGUCUGCGGACCAUUAGCUUGUUGGUGGGGUAACGGCCUACCAAGGCUGCGAUGGUUAGCAGGUCUGAGAGGAUGAUCAGUCACACUGGAACUGGAACACGGUCCAGACUCCUACGGGAGGCAGCAGUGAGGAAUUUUGCGCAAUGGGGGCAACCCUGACGCAGCAACGCCGCGUGAGUGAAGAAGGCCUUUGGGUCGUAAAGCUCUGUCAACUGGGAAGAAAUUAGUUAUCAUUAAUAUUGGUAGCUAUUGACGGUACCAGUGGAGGAAGCGCCGGCUAACUCCGUGCCAGCAGCCGCGGUAACACGGGGGGCGCAAGCGUUAUUCGGAAUUAUUGGGCGUAAAGGGCGCGCAGGCGGUCUUGUCGGUCAGGUGUGAAAGCCCGGGGCUCAACCCCGGACGUGCAUUUGAAACAGCAAGACUUGAAUACUGGAGAGGAAAGCGGAAUUCCUGGUGUAGAGGUGAAAUUCGUAGAUAUCAGGAGGAACACCGAUGGCGAAGGCAGCUUUCUGGACAGAUAUUGACGCUGAGGCGCGAAGGCGUGGGUAGCGAACGGGAUUAGAUACCCCGGUAGUCCACGCAGUAAACGUUGUUCACUCGGUGUAUCGGAUAUUAAAAUCUGAUGUGCCCAAGCUAACGCAUUAAGUGAACCGCCUGGGGAGUACGGUCGCAAGACUAAAACUCAAAGGAAUUGACGGGGGCCCGCACAAGCGGUGGAGCAUGUGGUUUAAUUCGACGCAACGCGCAGAACCUUA